AACGCACCCAAAUUUGUCGUCGUCGAGAUAUGACGUCUUUCGCGGAGACGAUAAAUUAGCGCUUUCCCGCUUCGACAUGAGAGCUAAGUGGAGAAAGAAGCGCAUGCGCAGGCUGAAGCGCAAAAGGAGAAAGAUGAGGCAGAGGUCUAAGUAAACGGUCCUCUUCGCCAUGGCUGUGACAUCACAUGUUGAUAACAACCACACCAGUGAGCACAGCUGGAGACCCCAGGACCCUCCCAGUGUCAAGUCCGAGUCCAUAUCGACCUGAGGCAGUGGAGUUGCAGCAGCUGAUGCAUACUGGUGCCGCUCAUUCAAGACCUGCUGGGUUUCAGACUUUUCCUCUGGGACAUCCUGGACUCUUAAUUCCUCAACUUUUAUCAUUUGUUUUAUUAAUACUGUGAUUAAAGGUUUUGCUUUAAAAAAAAGAA